GACGAACGCUGGCGGCGUGCUUAACACAUGCAAGUCGAACGAUGAAGCCUUUCGGGGUGGAUUAGUGGCGAACGGGUGAGUAACACGUGGGUAAUCUGCCCUGCACUCUGGGAUAAGCCCGGGAAACUGGGUCUAAUACCGGAUAUGACUUUCUUACGCAUGUAGGAAGGUGGAAAGUUCCGGCGGUGCAGGAUGAACCCGCGGCCUAUCAGCUUGUUGGUGGGGUAAUGGCCUACCAAGGCGACGACGGGUAGCCGGCCUGAGAGGGCGACCGGUCACACUGGGACUGAGACACGGCCCAGACUCCUACGGGAGGCAGCAGUGGGGAAUAUUGCACAAUGGGCGAAAGCCUGAUGCAGCGACGCCGCGUGAGGGAUGACGGCCUU
rnacentral:rRNA from 1 species